rnacentral:lncRNA from 1 species
ACUUCCUGGCGCCGCCGUCCAAGCCUCCCGCUCGGCGCCCCCGGCUCCCGCCCGCCGCCGCCGCCGCCGCCGCCCUACCUGGUGAAGCAGUACUCGCAGUGGUUGCCCCGCUCGUUGACCUGGAAUUACAUGGACGGAAGAGGAAAUGCAUUGGCCGGCCCAGCUCACCGAGUCUCUGAGGCAUGCUGCGAACGUUGCAGAGGAAGCCAGAGAGAACCUUGCCUUCAAGGAAUUUAGGCUGUUGGGGGAUAAUGCGAUGCUGUGGCCAGUGUCCAGGACACUGCGCUAGAGUUUGCAGUAGUUUUAAUAUGCUUGACCACCCACGAACUGUGAUCUUAGAAAAGUCACUUGGGUUAGGAGUCAAAGGAUUUAAAGCCCACAAAGCCUGAAACGUAAAUCCUAUACACAUGCACGCUAUUACUUUUCAUAUGAGAAAGGAAAAUAUAAUCCGUGUUCCACAUGAUUAUGUAAAGACUGGAAUUGAUGUACAUGCAGUAAAGACUAAAAUUGUGACGAGAUCAUUUAGCAGAAACCACUACUUCAAAAUAGGACCUCAAACAGUUACCUGUGUAAGUUCAGGACUGGUUGAGCAAAGGGAAAGGAUUAAUAUGAUUGGAGAUGUAAAAUCAGUGGAAUUUUUGGCAUUUCAGUAAAAUGUCUUUAUCAGCUGGGUGUGGUGGCUCAGCCCUGUAAUCCCAACACUGUGGGAGGCCAAGGUGGGAGGAUCAUUUGAGCCCAGGAAUUGGAGAGUUGGAGACCAGCUUGGGCAACAUAAAGACCCCGUCUCUAUGGGAAAUUAACCACCUCUCAAGUGGUGCUGAGGUGGGAGGAUAGCUUGAGCCUGGGAAGUCAAGGUUGCAGUGAGCUGUGGUGACUCCAUUAUACUCCAGCCUGGGUGACAGAGCAGGACCUUGUCUCAAAAGAAAACAAAAAAGCCCUUAUUAGUGGCAAACUAAAUAAGCCUCUAACCCGUCUUCAAGUAAAGGAAGUUAUGAUAGUAUUUUCAUUUAUGCAUUUUAAGAAACUUCGACUGACUAUGGCCAGCAACUGGGAUAGAAAGAUGGACAUCAGCCGGCUGUGGUGGCUCACGCCUGUAAUCCCAGCACUUUGGGAGGCCGAGGUAGGCGGAUCACCUGAGGUCGAGAGUUCAAGACCAGCCUGACCAACAUGGAGAAACCUCAUCUCUACUAAAAAUACAAAAUUAGCCAGGUGUGGUGGUGCAUGCCUGUAAUCCCAGCUACUCGGGAGGCUGAGGCAGGAGAAUCGCUUGAACCUGGGAGGUGGAGGUUGCUGUGAGCCAAAAUCGCACCAUUGCACUCCAGCCUGCGCAAGAAGAGCGAAACUCUGUCUCAAAAAAAAAAAAAAAAAAAAAGUGGACAAAAUGUAGUCCUAGGUCCUUGCAUUUGGCACAUUCAAGUUUGAUAAUACCAUUAGUUAUUGAGUAUUGUUGACCAGGCAUCGUGCUCCAUCAUUAAACACAUUAUCUGGUUUAUCUUUACAACAGGCUAAUGAGUUAGGUAUUAUGCCCCUCAUUGCCAAAAUUAGGAAGGAAACUAAGACCCAGAAGGAAUGAUUUUCAAGGCCACACAAUAAAUUGCAGAAUUUGGUUUCCAAGUCAGUCUGAAUUCAAGGUCCAUGUUCCUAACCACAGUGUUUUGCUGCAAACAAACACAGUUCACUGGGAUAAGUGCAGUUAUGGUGGCUUGUACAAAAUGUUCUGUGGUAGUACAGGCAGGGAGUGACAGCUUUAGCCUGCUAAACAGUCAAGACAGGCAUCACAUUCAAGUAACGUUAGAGCUGAGCCUGAAGGAUGGACAGGAUUUUGCAAGUGGAGGUGGGGAGAAGAGUUUUCUGGGCAGAGAGAACUGCGUACAAAGACAGAAGACCCUGAAAGCACAGAGCUUGUAGUUGGGGGCCCCUGAGCAUCUGGAAGAGAGGACAGGAAAUGAGGCAGGAACAGCUGAAGAGCAUCUUCUCCAGAGAUUCUUAGAUUGGCGGUGCUGGACAGCAAGUGACCAGAAGAGAAACAAGUGGUAACCCAACCUGCAUGAAGAAAAUUCAGUAGAACCUUGCUGGUGUAGAGAAGAUGGCACAAAGAAGAGUGAGAACACUUUUAUGAAAGGCUUAGGAAAUGUUGAAGUUUUCCAGUUUUCUUCCUAUGUGAAGGAACAUAGUGAAGGGGGAAAGGCCCCUUUUUUGCACAUACCUGUGGAGGGUAACGCUGUGUGGGUGCAUUUAGCCCUAAUCUCUGCCGUGGAUCAGGAUCGUUGGUUGUGGAGGAGGAAGAAGAGAGGGAAAGGCUUGAAUACUUACAAAAGAUUUUGAGAGCCUAAAUGAUGAAAGCUAGCAGUUCUACAGUGUUUACUAAGUGCAAGAAACUGUUGUAAGAGUUUUGCAUAUAUUAACUCCUUUGAUUCGAUUCUAAUGACCCUAUGAGACUCCCAAAAUUCCAGGAGCCAUGCAGAAGAUUGAAAAGUCCCUUCUUUGAGGAAUCCAACUAACCCAAGAGCAUGGACCUAAAAGUAUUGAAAGCCAAAGAUCCAGUAAUGAGAAGACCAAGCAAGGCUGGGCGCGGUGGCUCAUGCCUGUAAUCCCAGC